AGCUGGAGUCACAUGCUUGAAUUU
rnacentral:miRNA from 1 species